GUAGAUCAUCCGAUUUUUCAUCGUCGAGUCGCUCGCAAUCGCUUCGUUAAAGAAAAGAAAAAAAAAUAGAAAAGUAACGAAAGAGGCGGAUCUCGAUUGUCGUUUCAACUCACGCGUAGACAUUGCGAGACCUCGUUCGUCGAGACUCGAUCGAACAGAUAGUCCUAAGGUGCCCCCCUUUUUUACUCGGAGGUCCGACGUCGUCGACGUAGACGGUGAUUCUUCUUCGUGGCUCGCGUUGAAUAUCAAACGGUAUUCUCUCGGAGUGGAUCGCAAUAUAUAUAUAUAUAUAUAUUGCGUAUUCGAUAUGCAUCGGUUGACGUGACGUUUACGAUCGAUAAUGCUCUUCUCUUUCGAUUUUUCUUGAAUAAAUCGAAUUUGCGAGCUAUAUCCACGUAUUGGAAAAUAAUUGAUCGAUAUGGCUCUAAACUGAUCGAUCAGACGUUUAGUAGUACGUAAAGAUAUGGAUAUUUAUCGAAAGAGGGAGAACGAGAGACUUGAUAAUCCUGGCGUGUGUUAAGAGGAAGCGACGAGAUUAUUCGGCUAGGCUCGCGGGGUCCCUCGAAAUACGCGCGUAUUAGCCUUCACGUAAUAGCACCGCGUCGUAAUGCGCCGGCAUUAAAGCUAGUCUAAUAACGCACGAUACUCGGAGAGAGUAGGCAGCAGCAGCAGCAGCAGCAGCAGCAGCAGGCAGGCAGGCAGCUCGGCACUAGCGACACAGACCUCCUCCUCUCUCUCUCUCUCUCUCUCUUUCUCUCUCUCUCUCUCUCUCUCUCUCUAUGGUACACUCGCCUGGUUAGAACCUUAUACUCGAGUGCUCGGCUACAUCAAACUGCAUAAUUACGAUGGAACUCGGGUUGCCGUUCGAAACGCUUGCGUUCUGACCGCAACCGUCUCGCGUUAAUACGCUUCUGUCGUCUCUCUCUCUCUCUCUCUCCCUCUCUCUCUUUUAUGAGAUUAGAUAACGAGUACGAUCUCUGCCUCUGUAAUCUCCUUCGAUGAGAUCGAUUGACGUCUUGCCACGCCAAGAUGUAGAUUAUGCUAUUGUUUUUCGAUAAAAAGAGAAUACCUAAUAUCGGACAAGACACUGUUAUGGACGAUACGCAAAUGCACGAAUAAGAUGAUCUUGGCUUGCAUCGGAUUUUGAUGGAUUAACCGAGGGAGAGAUCAUGCGAAGACGAACGAAUAAAAGGAUUCGAACAAUGUACAAAAGUAUUCGUUUCGGAGAAGAAAGCCACGGUUUCGUAGUAAAGUCGAGUAAAGUUGAGUAAAGUCGAGCUCGUCGAAUAUAUUAUAUUUAUAUAGCGCUAGGAUCGAUCGAUUUUACGGUUUUAUAACGUAUACGAAAUUUAUACGUGUAUGUGCGUUUUAUAAAAGCACUUGCUAAAAAAGAAAAACGUGCGUAAAGUUUAUUUCGCUACAACGAAACGCGAUCUUUUUUACAUACUUUAUAGACUCGGUAAUACCGAAAAUUUAUUUGAUUUCAAAUAACGUUUCAAUACUUUUCAUAUAAAAUGAAAACUUUUUUCUUUUCUUUGACUUAUUAGAUCGAUAACGAACGAACGAUAAUGCUGCGAGCUUUGAUUUCGAUUACGUUUCAGAGUAAAAUUCUCGUCUAAAGGACGAACUCGAUGAGAAAGAUAUGGACGCCACUGAAAUUUCUUUCACGCGGCUCGUCUCGCCUACUAAUAUUCACGAUCGUUUCGAUAUACGCAAGCGGAAUCGACAAUGGAGAAGAAACGAUGCACGGGAAUCCACGUGCUUUUCCGUACCGUUAAAGUAAUUAGGAUAAUAUAUCCUAGGUGGAAAAUAAAUCCAAUAACUUCUUUCUCUUUCUUCUUUUUUCCUUUUUUCGUUACGUAAAACUCGAUAAAUGCCUUGAUAAUGCCGUACGGUAUUAGAAAUUGAAGAAUUUUGAUAAAGAGGACGAAAAAAAAAAUUGCAACCUUUUUGGUUUGCUGCUAGGGUACACGGUUAAAUUAAAAAUAGCGACGUUAUAGGAAGUUUUCCCGAGAAAGAAAGAGAGAGAGAGAGACGGUAUAUUUCCACGAUGGCCUAAACUUUUUAAGAGUGCCUCCGUGAAGUUGUUUUGUUUACGAAAGGGUAAAUUCCGUUGAUACACCCUUUUAGUUUAGCGCGUAAAUUUCCAUAUUAUGCGCCUUUUACCCGACAGAAAUAGCUCGUCGCGAAUACACGAAUUCAGAAAUCGAUAAGUAUAAUUCGCAUUUUUAUCGAUUCGAAUACUUGAGAAAUCCUUCCAAAAAAAAAAAAAAAAAAA